rnacentral:rRNA from 1 species
UACGUAGGGGGCGAGCGUUGUCCGGAAUUACUGGGCGUAAAGGGUGCGUAGGCGGAUUUGCAAGUCAGAUGUGAAAGCCUGGGGCUUAACCCCAGGAUUGCAUUUGAAACUGCGAAUCUUGAGUGCAGGAGAGGCAAGUGGAAUUCCUAGUGUAGCGGUGAAAUGCGUAGAUAUUAGGAGGAACACCAGUGGCGAAGGCGACUUGCUGGACUGUAACUGACGCUGAGGCA